AUGGCGUCGGCGAAAAUCCUAGUGCGGGCUGGCUCCUCCCUCCUCGGCCGCCUCCUCGCCUCCCCGCCUCCGUCUCUUCUGCGGACCGGAUUUCCUCUUCCGUCGCUACUCCAUAGGAUCCAGCCGCACGUCCCGCCGCCGGCGGCGUCGGUGGACGCACACGAUGCGGAGGUGGUCGCGAGACUAACUUCGCUCCCCGUGGAGAUCUCCUUCCCCUGCGGCCUCCCCUCUCUCCGGUUCCUCAUUGACGAUGGAAUUGAUCCUGUUGCUAAUGAACCCCUUGAGUUACUUCCCAAAAGGACUUACCAACCCAGCACCAUCAAGCGGAAACGAACCCAUGGAUUUCGUGCACGCAAAUCAACCACUGGUGGGCGUAAGGUGAUUGCUCGGAGAAUCGCUAAAGGAAGGCACAAAAUUUCAUGGUAA
rnacentral:rRNA from 1 species